rnacentral:rRNA from 1 species
AGAGUUGAUCAUGGCUCAGGAUGAACGCUAGCUACAGGCUAACACAUGCAAGUCGAGGGGCAGCGAGAAGGAAGCUUGCUUCUUGUCGGCGACCGGCGCACGGGUGAGUAACGCGUAUCCAACCUCCCUUAGUAGGGCAUAGCCCGUAGAAAUGCGGAUUAAUACCCUAUGUUGUUCGAUGCGGACAUCUAGGUUGAACCAAAGGUUUACCGCUAAGGGAUGGGGAUGCGUCCGAUUAGGCAGCAGGCGGGGUAACGGCCCACCUGGCCAACGAUCGGUAGGGGUUCUGAGAGGAAGGUCCCCCACAUUGGAACUGAGACACGGUCCAAACUCCUACGGGAGGCAGCAGUGAGGAAUUAUUGGUCAAGUGGGCGCGAGCCUGAACCAGCCAAGUUAAGCGUGCAGGACGACGGCCCUAUGGGUUGUAAACUGCUUUUAUGCGGGGAUAAAGUGACGUACGUGUACGUUUUUGUAGGUACCGCAUGAAUAAGGACCGGCUAAUUCCGUGCCAGCCGCCGC